rnacentral:rRNA from 1 species
UCUCCUGGAAAACGGGUGGUAAUGCCGGAUGCUCCAUCACACCGCAUGGUGUGUUGGGAAAGCCUUUGCGGCAUGGGAUGGGGUCGCGUCCUAUCAGCUUGAUGGCGGGGUAACGGCCCACCAUGGCUUCGACGGGUAGCCGGCCUGAGAGGGCGACCGGCCACAUUGGGACUGAGAUACGGCCCAGACUCCUACGGGAGGCAGCAGUGGGGAAUAUUGCACAAUGGGCGCAAGCCUGAUGCAGCGACGCCGCGUGAGGGAUGGAGGCCUUCGGGUUGUAAACCUCUUUUAUCAGGGAGCAAGGCUUCGGUUGAGUGUACCUGUUGAAUAAGCACCGGCUAACUACGUGCCAGCAGCCGCGGUAAUACGUAGGGUGCAAGCGUUAUCCGGAAUUAUUGGGCGUAAAGGGCUCGUAGGCGGUUCGUCGCGUCCGGUGUGAAAGUCCAUCGCUUAACGGUGGAUCCGCGCCGGGUACGGGCGGGCUUGAGUGCGGUAGGGGAGACUGGAAUUCCCGGUGUAACGGUGGAAUGUGUAGAUA